UCAUUUCAGUGUGUCAAGCUGUAAGGAAAAUGGAGGCAAAACCAAAUGGUUGUGUGGAUGAAAGUAAACUAUCAGAAGCAGGAUUAGUAUUUGAAGUAAGUGAAAGUAAAUGCUUAGUUGCCUUGAAUUUUGAUGAUAACGGUGUGUUGAAAAUGCCAUGUUUUCAUGUCGAUACAU